GAAAGUUAGCUGCAACUAGUACCAAUCCAGUCUAGUGUCCCCUGUCGAUGGAUCGUUUCAUCAUUUGUAUCCGUUCAGUACCUCUAUCUACUCCUACCCGGUUGAUGCAUGUCCUCGGGUGUCAGGACUCAGCUAGUUACGAUCGCACGAUCGAUCUGUGGACCUGUGCCAUGCUGUUCUAAGGCGUUUCUUAAUUUCAUUCCACUUCUCACCGAUAUGCAGAUUAUAUCUUAUCUAAAAUGGUAAAUUCUGUUAUGUUUCUUACCUACUACAUAUCUACCUUUGUUUCUCUUAUCAUAGCAACUCUUACCAUUGUACGUUUUUAAGCCUAAAUUAUCCUUCUCAUAAAGGAUUCUUGAGUAUUCUCUUCUUGACAUUUUCUCCCCAUUUUCGUGUCAGGUGUCCACUAUACCCUCC
rnacentral:lncRNA from 1 species